UACGUAGGUGGCAAGCGUUGUCCGGAUUUACUGGGCGUAAAGAGCGCGCAGGCGGUCGUGCAAGUCGCGUGUGAAAGCCCCCGGCUCAACUGGGGAGGGUCACGCGAUACUGCUCGACUCGAAGGCAGGAGAGGGAAGUGGAAUUCCCGGUGUAGUGGUGAAAUGCGUAGAUAUCGUAAGGAAGACCAGUGGCGAAGGCGGGUCUCUGGACAGGUCCUGACGCUGAGGCACGAAGGUCAGGGGAGCAAACGGG
rnacentral:rRNA from 1 species